ensembl:snoRNA
GCCCUCCAGCUCCCUCUGCCAUCGGAUCUAAACGCUGGUCUUGCUGAUGGUGAAGGAGGAAACGUUCUUAAAUUAGAGCUAAUGAGGCAGAGAUCAGUAGUGGAACACUUGUGCGCAGGACCCUGGGUUCAAACAUCA